rnacentral:rRNA from 1 species
AUGCUCCCGCCGGCGCCCAGCCUCCAGCGACAUGACUGUGCUCCCGUCGGCGCCCAGCCUCCAACGGCGCGGCUGUGCUCCCGCCGCCGCCGACCUCCAGCAGCGGGGUGGCGCGUCCUCCAACGGCCCUGUCGGAGUUCGGGCGGGUCGUGGAGGCCAGCGACGCAGUGGCGCGGAUCCAGCAGCAACGUCGUGGUUGUCCCGGCGAGGAGGUCGUUCACCAGGCACUGCUGGAGCACGGCCCUGAACAUAAAAGGCAAGCAAGGUGAGACGUACAUGCGCGUACAGGAGCUCCUUGACAUGAAGCUGCGCACGAAGCCUGUUGACAUGAAGCUGCUCCAGCUCUGCGUGCGCGUGGUCGGGGCGUGUGUUCAAGCCAAGUCUUCGUGUUGGAGCUCGCCAUGCCCAGGCCCGCCAUGCUGGCGCGGCCGGCCUACCGUCCCCGCUCGCACGCCUCAGCGUUGGAGCUUUCCGCGCUCGGCCGCGCCAUGUUCGCCGCGCCCGGCCGCCAUGCUUGCCGCGCUCACCGUGCCGUGCCGAGCCGCGGUCGCCCUGCCUUGUCUCACACACCCGCCGUGCUGCCCUGCUCGCGCGUGUCCGCGUUGGAGCUCGUGCGCCCGCCGCCUCCACUCUGUAGCUCGACCGCCGGCUUCGCCUCGUGCCCGGCCGGAGCUGCUCGAGCAGGUGGUCGCACCCGCCAGGCGCAGAGGCGCACCUCGUACGAGCUCGCGUGGCUGCAACUUGUCCUGGCCAUGGUCAACGUGCACCCCAGUGCGAGCUAUCCUGCCUGCUAAGUGUUCGAGGAAAUGCCGAGACGGACAUGCAAAAAAUGUGUCCACCUCUUGUUGGGCACACAUGCCAACCCAAAUAAAAAAGAGGAUGCAGACAGGCGGACGGGCGACCCAAACGAACAAAAAACAGACAAAAUCGGUGUUCGUUUGGGUCACUCCGUUGGAGUUGCUCUUAUUGUACAAUCUCAGACCAUCUCACAGUAUGACUAUAUAA